rnacentral:rRNA from 1 species
UGAAUACGAGAUGCUACGGCGUCGAAGCAGUGUAUGUCAGACUUCCAAGAAAAGCUCGCAAUGUCAUAAAUAAAGAAUGCCUGUACCAUAACCGACACAGGUGGGUAGGUAGAGUAUACUAAGGGGCGCGAGAUAACUCUCUCUAAGGAACUCGGCAAAAUAACUCCGUAACUUCGGGAGAAGGAGUGCCUUCUUUAAGAAGGUUGCAAUAACAAGAUCCAAGCAACUGUUUAUCAAAACACAGGUCUCCGCUAAGUCGUAAGACGAUGUAUGGGGGCUGACGCCUGCCCAGUGCCAGAAGGUUAAAGAAGCUGGUUAGCAAUAGCGAAGCUGGUGACUGAAGCCCUGGUGAACGGCGGCCGUAACUAUAACGGUCCUAAGGUAGCGAAAUUCCUUGUCGGGUAAGUUCCGACCCGCACGAAAGGCGUAAUGAUUUGGAUACUGUCUCGGAUAGGGACUCGGUGAAAUAGACUUGUCUGUGAAGAUGCGGACUACCUGCACCAGGACAGAAAGACCCUAUGAAGCUUUACUGUAACCUGAAAUUGAAAUUGGACUUUAUUUGCGCAGUAUAGGUGGGAGGCGUUGAAAGUAAUCUUGCGGGAUUAGUGGAGCCAUCAGUGAGAUACCACUCCUAUAAUGUUAGAUUUCUAACUUUGGAUCAUGAUCUGGUCAAAGAACAGUUUCAGGCGGGCAGUUUGACUGGGGCGGUCGCCUCCCAAAUGGUAACGGAGGCGUACAAAGGUUUCCUCUGAACGGGUAGAAAUCGUAUCUAGAGUGUAAAGGCAUAAGGAAGCUUGACUGUGAGACCUACAAGUCGAGCAGGGACGAAAGUCGGUCUUAGUGAUCUGACGGUGCUGAGUGGAAAGGCCGUCACUCAACGGAUAAAAGUUACUCUAGGAUAACAGGCUGAUCUCCCCCAAGAGUUCACAUCGACGGGGAGGUUUGGCACCUCGAUGUCGGCUCAUCGCAUCCUGGGGCGGUAGUACGUCCCAAGGGUUGGGCUGUUCGCCCAUGAAAGCGGUACGCGAGCUGGGUUCAGAACGUCGUGAGACAGUUCGGUCCAUAUCCGGUGUAGGCGUUAGAAUAUUGAGAGGAGCCUUCUCUAGUACGAGAGGACCGAGAAGGACAUACCUCUGGUGUACCAGUUAUCGUGCCAACGGUAAACGCUGGGUAGCUAUGUAUGGAGAGGAUAACCGCUGAAAGCAUCUAAGUGGGAAGCCCACCUCAAGAUGAGUAUUCUCAC